rnacentral:rRNA from 1 species
CUACGGGGUGCAGCAGUGAGGAAUAUUGCACAAUGGGGGGAACCCUGAUGCAGCAACGCCGCGUGGAGGAUGACGCAUUUCGGUGUGUAAACUCCUUUUAUAUGUCAAGAAAAUGACGGUAGCAUAUGAAUAAGCACCGGCUAACUCCGUGCCAGCAGCCGCGGUACUACGGAGGGUGCAAGCGUUACUCGGAAUCACUGGGCGUAAAGGACGCGUAGGCGGGUUGGAAAGUCAGGUGUGAAAUCCUACAGCUUAACUGUAGAACUGCACUUGAAACUUCUAAUCUAGAGUAUGGGAGGGGGAGAUGGAAUUAGUGGUGUAGGGGUAAAAUCCGUAGAUAUCACUAGGAAUACCUAAAGCGAAGGCGAUCUCCAGGAACAUUACUGACGCUAAGGCGUGAAAGCGUGGGGAGCAAACAGGAUUAGAUACCCUAGUAGUC